GUUUCUACAUCCUGGGACAUCCGAUAAAAUUGGAACAAUACAUAGAAGAUUAGCAUGAUCCCUGUGCAAGGAUGACAGCACAAAUCGAGAAAUUGUCCAAAUUUUU